rnacentral:ncRNA from 1 species
UAAGAUAGAGGCGCGGAAAGCAUCAGUAGUCUGCGGAGCGGGAGCUGGGAAGCAGGCGAAAGGGCUAACGCCGAAGUGCAAUGGCAGCCGUGCCGUUGUGCUGGGCCGUCAGUGAAAGCUGCCGGACUGUCGCUGCAAAAGCAGCGGAGGGCUAUCU